CGGCGGACGGGUGGGUAACGCGUGGGUAACCUGCCUCCGUACAGGGGGAUAACAGUUGGAAACGGCUGCUAAUACCGCAUAAGCGCACAGUACCGCAUGGUACCGUGUGAAAAACUCCGGUGGUAUGAGAUGGACCCGCGUCUGAUUAGCUAGUUGGUGGGGUAACGGCCUACCAAGGCGACGAUCAGUAGCCGACCUGAGAGGGUGACCGGCCACAUUGGGACUGAGACACGGCCCAA
rnacentral:rRNA from 1 species